rnacentral:rRNA from 1 species
AUUGAACGCUGGCGGCAGGCCUAACACAUGCAAGUCGCACGAGUGGCGGACGGGUGAGUCAUGUCUGGGAAACUGCCUGAUGGAGGGGGAUAACUACUGGAAACGGUAGCUAAUACCGCAUACCAUAAGAUGUGCCCAGAUGGGAUUAGCUUGGUGGUGGGGUAACGGUUCACCAAGGCGACGAUCCCUAGCUGGUUUGAGAGGAUGACCAGCCAAACUGGAACUGAGAGACGGUCCAGAUGCCUACGGGAGGCAGAAGGGGGGAAGAUGGCAAAAUGGGGGCAAGCCUGAUGAAGCCAGGCCGGGUGUAUGAAGAAGGCCGUCGGGGUGUAAAGUACUUUCAGCGGGGAGGCGUUACCCGCAGAAGAAGCACCGGCUAACUCCGUGCCAGCCGCCGCGGUAAAUUC